rnacentral:rRNA from 1 species
AGCGAACGCUGGCGGCAGGCCUAACACAUGCAAGUCGAACGAACCUUUCGGGGUUAGUGGCGGACGGGUGAGUAACACGUGGGAACGUGCCUUUAGGUUCGGAAUAACUCAGGGAAACUUGUGCUAAUACCGAAUGUGCCCUUCGGGGGAAAGAUUAAUCGCCUUUAGAGCGGCCCGCGUCUGAUUAGCUAGUUGGUUGAGGUAAUGGCUCACCAAGGCGACGAUCAGUAGCUGGUCUGAGAGGAUGAUCAGCCACAUUGGGACUGAGACACGGCCCAAACUCCUACGGGAGGCAGCAGUGGGGAAUCUUGCGCAAUGGGCGAAAGCCUGACGCAGCCAUGCCGCGUGAAUGAUGAAGGUCUUAGGAUUGUAAAAUUCUCUCACCGGGGACGAUAAUGACGGUACCCGGAGAAGAAGCCCCGGCUAACUUCGUG